rnacentral:rRNA from 1 species
UACGUAGGGUGCGAGCGUUAAUCGGAAUUACUGGGCGUAAAGCGUGCGUAGGCGGUUUCAUAAGCUUGAUGUGAAAGCCCCGGGCUCAACCCUGGGGAAUGGCAUUGAGGACUGUGGAGCUAGAGUGCGGCAGAGGGAGGUGGAAUUCCACGUGUAGCAGUGAAAUGCGUAGAGAUGUGGAGGAACACCGAUGGCGAAGGCAGCCUCCUGGGCCGACACUGACGCUGAGGGCACGAAAGCGUGGGGAGCAAACAGG